CCUGGCUCAGGAUGAACGCUAGCGGCAGGCCUAAUACAUGCAAGUCGAACGGUAUAAGUUGUAGCAAUAUGACUUAGAGAGUGACGUAAGGGUGCGUAACACGUAUGCAAUCUACCCUCAACAGGAGUAUAGCUCGGGGAAACUCGGAUUAACACUCCAUAAUAUCAUUGGGAGGCAUCUUCUGGUGAUUAAAACUUUGGUGGUUGAGGAUGAGCAUGCGUCUGAUUAGUUAGUUGGUGAGGUAACGGCUCACCAAGACGAUGAUCAGUAGGGGAACUGAGAGGUUGAUCCCCCACACUGGCACUGAGAUACGGGCCAGACUCCUACGGGAGGCAGCAGUGAGGAAUAUUGCGCAAUGGAGGCAACUCUGACGCAGCCAUGCCGCGUGCAGGAAGAAGGCGCUACGCGUUGUAAACUGCUUUUAACCGGGAAGAAACCCUCCGACGUGUCGGAGGUUGACGGUACCGGAGGAAUAAGCACCGGCUAACUUCGUG
rnacentral:rRNA from 1 species